UUUUAUUUUUGCUUGAAUUUAAUCAUUUUGUUUGAUUAAAUUAGGGUUUUCUCUUAGGGUACGUUCUUAAUAUUCUUCUGGACUAAGAUCUAAUCCAUGCAGCUUUAUAUUUAUACUAGUUAUCUCUAUCCCAACUUUGCCUGGUGCAUGGUGUUUUUACAAAGGAAUUGGUAUUUCCAAUCUUUAGAAACAAGUUUUAAUUAAUCUGGCUAUAGCUAGUUGAUAAAAUUUAAUCUACAGAUUCUUCUUUUGGUUAAUUUGUUUGUACAAAUCGAGGAGCAGUCGUUGUUUGCAAAUGUGGCAUCAUCAAGAUUCACAUGCAACGUACAUAUAUAUUUAUAUAUAUUAUAUGGUUUUGGCCUGAGAAUCCUGAUGAUGCUGCAUUGGCAAUGAAUGGCUAGAUGGAGAACUUUGAUCGGCUUCUUCUCCUUUCCAUCCCAACAUGGUGGUUUCUUUCCCAAUAUUACCAAUAAAUUGAAAGGGUAUCUAUUGGCGGUAUAUAUACCAAUUGGAUCUAAAUCUAAUCCUUCCUAGAUGGAUGACUUGAAGCCUGGCAUCAUGAAGAUGGGAUUGAAAUCUCACUGGCCUUGGAGUUAGAAACAUCCAAGCCUGUAAUUAUCGGGAAUAAUAAAUGUAAUUAUGCAUGCCAUCUAUGUCGUCCUUGGUAGUAUCUCCCCAUUCACCAUCCACUGAGAUCGGUGGGGCAACCUUUCUGAUCUGAUCUGAUCUCUCUGCUGCGCUGCAAAAAUUUUAAUUGAUGGUCCUCUCUGUUCAUUUGUCAAUCAUGCUGUUCAUUGGCACCCUCCUAUAGUUGCUUCGGUGCUUUACAGCUGAUUGCUCAUUCCAACCGUUAAUUGCUGCCACUCCAGGCGUCUCAUGGCAGCCCUCCAAAGAUGGUGAUCUCAAAUUCAACGUUGACAGUUCUACUAAAGGUAAACCGAAGCCGGUUGGUUGUGGUGGCAAUCUUAAGAAUUCUGACAGAUUUGUUGUUGGGGUUUUUUUCGGCCUCCUUGAUUGCCAAGAGUCUAACUUUGCUGAGCUUAUGGCCAUCCCUUAUGCUUUGCAACUCUUUGCCUCAUCUCCUUAAUAUAGGUCUAACUUGAUCAUCGAAUCUGACUCAAAGGUAGCUCUCUCAUGGAUUAAUAAUGAAUCGCAUCAACUUUGGAAUUUUUGACGAGUCUUUAAUGAAAUUGAUGCUCACCUACACUCACUUGGUCAUGUCACUCUCCCACACAUUCUAAGGGAAGGUAACACCUUUGUAGAUUCCUUGGCCAAGUAUGGGGUUGACAGGAAUUUUACUUUUUCUGCUUGGUGGUGAUAUUUAUUGCAGUGUGCUUUCAGAAGCGUUCUCUUCACAUAAUUUGCUCCUUUUCAUUUAUUGUGUGUUUGUUUUUGCUUUGAUGCUAUCACAACACAGAGGAUAGGGGACAUCCCUUUAUCUUUGAUCAAUUUUUUUUUUUUCUAUUUCAGUUUGCUCUACUUGUUCUUUGUUUUA